ensembl:lncRNA
UAGAACAGAAAGAAGUAAAUGCGUGUGUGUGUGUGUGUGUGUUUGUGUGUGUGUAAUUAACAGCAGCAGAAAUGUGUUAAAUGUAUCAGUAAGUUUCAGUCAUUUCAAACAUUUAAUUUAGCAAAUAAUCUAUUGCUUUAGACAGUCAGGCCUGUUUCCCAGCUAGUUAACAAAUGAAACUUUUUGUUUUCUUUCCUGUCCUCCCCGUCUCUCCCUCCCCUCACUUGGCCGUCGUCCAGAGCUCCUCAAACAAUCGCCUGAGCGGCUGCAGCCAAGCCCUGAUGGCCAUAAACAAGAUUGUGGAGCCAUUCGUCUCCACCUCCUGCAGGUCCGUCGAGAGAUCUGCGCUCCAAACAAAUCGCUCGUCCUCUUCACUGAAGCUCGGCUCCAGCGUCUUCUGUGUUUCUUCACCUCGGGCCGGGCGAGAUCAGCUUUAUUCUGCUUCCUUCUGAAAUGCUUUCAGAUGCUUUCAUCUGCUGCCCGAGGCUACAUCCUCACAACACACAAACGCAAAACUAGUCUGAACUAUCAGUGUUGUGAAACUCCAGCACAUUAAACACAAUUAAAUAAGGUAUGUUAACAGUAUAUAACAGCAGCUCCUGGCAACAAUAUUGAGUAGAAAAUAUUACAUUUUAAUUCUUGCAGCAUGUCAGAGUUACACAACAUUAUUGCUUACAAUUAAGUAACUGACCUGUAACUUUAUUUUUAGUAAAAAAAAAAAAAAAAUGCAACAAUGCAACAUCCUCCAUAAGGCAUGCAUAAAUAUUUACAAUAUAGACUGGUUGAGCAGUUUUACUUCUGUUUGCUGCAUUUUCCAUGAAGCUUUUUUCAAGAUGCUUCUGAAAAACGCUGUAGAAAUGAAAUUCCAUUGUAUUCGUUUGUUAAUGUUAGUUAAUAUAAAAAUACAGCUGUUCAUGUCUGUUAAGGUUAGUUCACAGUGCAUUAACUAAUAUUAGGGUUAAGAUCUAAAAUAAUAUCAAAUUGUUAAUGUAUAUUUAGUUUUACUAAAUGCUGUAGAAUACUUAACAAGUGUAUGUUAAGUAAUGUAGUUUAUUAAUGUUCAUAAAUAAAAUCUUAAUGUAAAGUAUUUGUAAAUUACUU